AAACUUAAAUGAAUUGACGGGACCGCACAAGCAGCGGAGCGUGUGGUUUAAUUCGUUGCUACACGAAGAACCUUACCUGGGUUUGACAUAUGGGUUGUAGGGAACUGAAAGGGACCGACCCUUCGGGGAGCCUAUACAGGUGUUGCAUGGCUGUCGUCAGCUCGUGUCGUGAGAUGUUCGGUUAAGUCCGCUAACGAGCGCAACCCUCGUCGUAUGUUAUAUGUGUCAUACGAGACUGCCGGUAAAAAGCCGGAGGAAGGUGAGGAUGAUGUCAAGUCAGCAUGACCUUUAUAUCCAGGGCUACACACACGCUACAAUGGUCUGUACAAUGGGUAGCCAAGCCGCGAGGCGGAGCCAAUCCUGAAAGCAGGCCUCAGUUCAGAUUGCAGUCUGCAACUCGACUGCAUGAAGCCGGAGUUGCUAGUAAACGCAGGUCAGCCAUACUGCGUUGAAUACGUUCCCGGGGCUU
rnacentral:rRNA from 1 species